CUUCAGUAACCUAUCCAUGCUGAAGGAGCUAUAUUUAGAUGGAAAUAAUAUUGUUUCACUGCCUAAUUGUGUGAGAGGCCUUCCCAGACUUGAGAAACUUAGUAUUGACCAUUGUAAGAGAUUGACCAUAUUGGAGCAUCCUCCACUUACACUAAGACACUUGAUAAUGGGUUUCAGCCAUUUGAGCAAAGUUGUAUUUGAUCGAGAAAUGUCCCCAAUCAUGUUAAGUACGUGGACAGGUUGCAGGUCUUUUAUUGAAGGCAUGUUUAAAGUGGAAAAUAUGGCAGAUGUCGAGGAAGAGGUAUUACGUAGUCUGGGGUGGACUAAUUUAGACUUCACCAAAAAUCAGCUGACAGAAUCUAAAGUCGAGAUGCAAUAUGAAUUUGGGAUAUUUAGCACAAGGUAUGAGGGGAAAGAGAUGCCAGAUUGGAUAAGUGAUAGAAGGGAGGGGUCAUCAAUAUCAUUUACCAUCCCAUCAUCUCCUAACAACCUUAAAGGAUUGAAUUUCUGCAUUGUGUUUACGGCUAUAAAGGGGUUUCUUCAUGUAGUCGGUAAAAUCAGAAUUAGUAACAUAACAAAGAACCGCACAUGGAUAUACAGUUGUUUUGGGUCCUUUGAGUCCACUAGAGAGGGUAUAAUUGUAUAUUUAAGCCAUUGGAUGUUUGGGAAGAGUGAGAUGGAAGAUGGUGAUGAAGUUACUGCCACGGUGACAGUAAUGCAAGCUGAUGAAUAUAUAGGUAAGGCAUUGGAUGUUUUGGAGUGUGGGAUUAGUCUUGUGUAUGAUGAUGGGAAGAAGAAAAUGGAAGAAGAAGAAGACGUGUUGRGUUAUUACAAGUCAUGGAAUCAUAUUAUUGGUGGGGAUCUCUCUCCUUUUCAAACUACUACCCCCGGAGUAUAUGACCUAAACAGGUGGCACUUUUUUGGUCCAAACUACAUCAACGAUUAUGUAGAAAAGCGUCCUCUGUUUAGAGCUUUCUCUCAAAGCAAGUCAACAUAGUUGGUGGGGUGAUGCAUCUAACCUAAUUAAGGUACUUUUUUUCUAUUUCCAGAACCGCUUCAAUUAUAUUCUCUCAUCAACAUACAUAAAAUAAAAACCAUACACCACCCAGGGUUGGGUCCCCGGUGAGAAUGAAAGUUAUGGUGAGAAGGGGAAUAAGGAAUCUCCACCCUUGGAUCAAUCGUAAUUGAAGAUCAAAGAGAUGCACUAAAUCAAUUCCUGCAAGAAGCAGAAUUCAUGGGGUUGGGGUGACAUUAAAAUUGAUCAAGGGUCUAGAUCCUUUCCUAUGCUUCUCACCUUGACUUCUAUUCUCCUUCGUCACACCACCCACUUAGUAUCAUCUUUUUAUCGAACUUUUUGGUCUCAGGAUCUUGUAAAGUAAGUGUGAUAUGAUUCUACAUGUCUGGUAUGAAAUGUCUUAUGUUUKAUUUUCUGUAGGCACAUAUUUUUUGCAGGAUUAUGCAAUCCUUUAUGUGUAGUUUUUACAGGCGGAUGCAAUAUCCACGUUUAAAAAAUUGCAAAGAGAGGUCUGCUGGUUCCAUAUUCAAGGGGAUACGUAAGCACGGUCAUUUCCUCYUUGUUCUCCUCUUUCAAGCUCAAGAUACCCCCAUUUCAUUUGUUGUGUCAAAAGUCUCCAAGAGAAUUUUGCUGCAAAUCUUAAUAUCGUAAGUUUGAAGUUUAUUUAUAGCUUAAAAUGAGAUGUAUUGGAUAAGUAGUUUAUUGAUGUAAAUCUUGUUYUAUAGAAAUUCCUAAAGGUUUUURUAAGGACGACGAUGACAACAUUGAAAUCAUAAAUCACAAUGACCAAAGAAUAUAAUGAGUUMCGGC